CCUACGGGGUGCAGCAGUGAGGAAUAUUGGUCAAUGGGCGCAAGCCUGAACCAGCCAAGUCGCGUGAGGGAAGACGGCCCUACGGGUUGUAAACCUCUUUUGCCGGGGAGCAAGCCUGAGCACGUGUGCCCAGGCGGAGAGUACCCGGAGAAAAAGCAUCGGCUAACUCCGUGCCAGCAGCCGCGGUAAUACGGAGGAUGCGAGCGUUAUCCGGAUUUAGUGGGUUUAGAGGGUUCGCAGGCGGGCUGUUAAGCCGGCGGUAAAAAUUCAGGGCUCAACCCUGUCGAGCCGUCGGAACUGGCAGCCUUGAGUGGGCGAGAAGUAUGCGGAAUGCGUGGUGUAGCGGUGAAAUGCAUAGAUAUCACGCAGAACGCCGAUUGCGAAGGCAGCAUACCGGCGCCCGACUGACGCUGAGGCACGAAAGCGUGGGGAUCGAACAGGAUUAGAUACCCGAGUAGUC
rnacentral:rRNA from 1 species